GAAAAGUGGAAAAUAGUGUGCAGUAAAGUGGUUAAAAGUGAAGUUACAGUGUGAAGUGUGUGUUUUCCGUGUGAAAAUCGUGUGAAAAACUACCCUAAGACUGAUUCCAUCCGGCUCCACAUCUCAAUGGCGGCGCUGCUGUCUUCCCGCUCAAUCUGCGCGCGCAAAUGGUCUCGGCUAUCGGUCUUCGAAGCCUUGAAUUUCAGUGUCAUCAAGUGAUUUUACAAAUGAUCCGCA